UUAAGCGACUAAGCGUACACGGUGGAUGCCCUGGCAGUCAGAGGCGAUGAAGGACGUGCUAAUCUGCGAUAAGCGUCGGUAAGGUGAUAUGAACCGUUAUAACCGGCGAUUUCCGAAUGGGGAAACCCAGUGUGAUUCGUCACACUAUCAUUAACUGAAUCCAUAGGUUAAUGAGGCGAACCGGGGGAACUGAAACAUCUAAGUACCCCGAGGAAAAGAAAUCAACCGAGAUUCCCCCAGUAGCGGCGAGCGAACGGGGAGCAGCCCAGAGCCUGAAUCAGUGUGUGUGUUAGUGGAAGCGUCUGGAAAGGCGCGCGAUACAGGGUGACAGCCCCGUACACAAAAAUGCACAUGCUGUGAGCUCGAUGAGUAGGGCGGGACACGUGGUAUCCUGUCUGAAUAUGGGGGACCAUCCUCCAAGGCUAAAUACUCCUGACUGACCGAUAGUGAACCAGUACCGUGAGGGAAAGGCGAAAAGAACCCCGGCGAGGGGAGUGAAAAAGAACCUGAAACCGUGUACGUACAAGCAGUGGGAGCACGCUUAGGCGUGUGACUGCGUACCUUUUGUAUAAUGGGUCAGCGACUUAUAUUCUGUAGCAAGGUUAACCGAAUAGGGGAGCCGAAGGGAAACCGAGUCUUAACUGGGCGUUAAGUUGCAGGGUAUAGACCCGAAACCCGGUGAUCUAGCCAUGGGCAGGUUGAAGGUUGGGUAACACUAACUGGAGGACCGAACCGACUAAUGUUGAAAAAUUAGCGGAUGACUUGUGGCUGGGGGUGAAAGGCCAAUCAAACCGGGAGAUAGCUGGUUCUCCCCGAAAGCUAUUUAGGUAGCGCCUCGUGAAUUCAUCUCCGGGGGUAGAGCACUGUUUCGGCAAGGGGGUCAUCCCGACUUACCAACCCGAUGCAAACUGCGAAUACCGGAGAAUGUUAUCACGGGAGACACACGGCGGGUGCUAACGUCCGUCGUGAAGAGGGAAACAACCCAGACCGCCAGCUAAGGUCCCAAAGUCAUGGUUAAGUGGGAAACGAUGUGGGAAGGCCCAGACAGCCAGGAUGUUGGCUUAGAAGCAGCCAUCAUUUAAAGAAAGCGUAAUAGCUCACUGGUCGAGUCGGCCUGCGCGGAAGAUGUAACGGGGCUAAACCAUGCACCGAAGCUGCGGCAGCGACGCUUAUGCGUUGUUGGGUAGGGGAGCGUUCUGUAAGCCUGUGAAGGUGUGCUGUGAGGCAUGCUGGAGGUAUCAGAAGUGCGAAUGCUGACAUAAGUAACGAUAAAGCGGGUGAAAAGCCCGCUCGCCGGAAGACCAAGGGUUCCUGUCCAACGUUAAUCGGGGCAGGGUGAGUCGACCCCUAAGGCGAGGCCGAAAGGCGUAGUCGAUGGGAAACAGGUUAAUAUUCCUGUACUUGGUGUUACUGCGAAGGGGGGACGGAGAAGGCUAUGUUGGCCGGGCGACGGUUGUCCCGGUUUAAGCGUGUAGGCUGGUUUUCCAGGCAAAUCCGGAAAAUCAAGGCUGAGGCGUGAUGACGAGGCACUACGGUGCUGAAGCAACAAAUGCCCUGCUUCCAGGAAAAGCCUCUAAGCAUCAGGUAACAUCAAAUCGUACCCCAAACCGACACAGGUGGUCAGGUAGAGAAUACCAAGGCGCUUGAGAGAACUCGGGUGAAGGAACUAGGCAAAAUGGUGCCGUAACUUCGGGAGAAGGCACGCUGAUAUGUAGGUGAAGCGACUUGCUCGUGGAGCUGAAAUCAGUCGAAGAUACCAGCUGGCUGCAACUGUUUAUUAAAAACACAGCACUGUGCAAACACGAAAGUGGACGUAUACGGUGUGACGCCUGCCCGGUGCCGGAAGGUUAAUUGAUGGGGUCAGCGCAAGCGAAGCUCUUGAUCGAAGCCCCGGUAAACGGCGGCCGUAACUAUAACGGUCCUAAGUAGCGAAAUUCCUUGUCGGGUAAGUUCCGACCUGCACGAAUGGCGUAAUGAUGGCCAGGCUGUCUCCACCCGAGACUCAGUGAAAUUGAACUCGCUGUGAAGAUGCAGUGUACCCGCGGCAAGACGGAAAGACCCCGUGAACCUUUACUAUAGCUUGACACUGAACAUUGAGCCUUGAUGUGUAGGAUAGGUGGGAGGCUUUGAAGUGUGGACGCCAGUCUGCAUGGAGCCGACCUUGAAAUACCACCCUUUAAUGUUUGAUGUUCUAACGUUGACCCGUAAUCCGGGUUGCGGACAGUGUCUGGUGGGUAGUUUGACUGGGGCGGUCUCCUCCUAAAGAGUAACGGAGGAGCACGAAGGUUGGCUAAUCCUGGUCGGACAUCAGGAGGUUAGUGCAAUGGCAUAAGCCAGCUUGACUGCGAGCGUGACGGCGCGAGCAGGUGCGAAAGCAGGUCAUAGUGAUCCGGUGGUUCUGAAUGGAAGGGCCAUCGCUCAACGGAUAAAAGGUACUCCGGGGAUAACAGGCUGAUACCGCCCAAGAGUUCAUAUCGACGGCGGUGUUUGGCACCUCGAUGUCGGCUCAUCACAUCCUGGGGCUGAAGUAGGUCCCAAGGGUAUGGCUGUUCGCCAUUUAAAGUGGUACGCGAGCUGGGUUUAGAACGUCGUGAGACAGUUCGGUCCCUAUCUGCCGUGGGCGCUGGAGAAUUGAGGGGGCUGCUCCUAGUACGAGAGGACCGGAGUGGACGCAUCACUGGUGUUCGGGUUGUCAUGCCAAUGGCACUGCCCGGUAGCUAAAUGCGGAAGAGAUAAGUGCUGAAAGCAUCUAAGCACGAAACUUGCCCCGAGAUGAGUUCUCCCUGACUCCUUGAGAGUCCUGAAGGAACGUUGAAGACGACGACGUUGAUAGGCCGGGUGUGUAAGCGCAGCGAUGCGUUGAGCUAACCGGUACUAAUGAACCGUGAGGCUUAACCUU
rnacentral:rRNA from 1 species